rnacentral:rRNA from 1 species
AGUGAACGCUGGCGGUAGGCCUAACACAUGCAAGUCGAACGGCAGCACAGUAAGAGCUUGCUCUUACGGGUGGCGAGUGGCGGACGGGUGAGGAAUACAUCGGAAUCUACUUUUUCGUGGGGGAUAACGUAGGGAAACUUACGCUAAUACCGCAUACGACCUACGGGUGAAAGCAGGGGAUCUUCGGACCUUGCGCGAUUGAAUGAGCCGAUGUCGGAUUAGCUAGUUGGCGGGGUAAAGGCCCACCAAGGCGACGAUCCGUAGCUGGUCUGAGAGGAUGAUCAGCCACACUGGAACUGAGACACGGUCCAGACUCCUACGGGAGGCAGCAGUGGGGAAUAUUGGACAAUGGGCGCAAACCUGAUCCAGCCAUACCGCGUGGGUGGAGAAGGCCUUCGGGUUGUAAAGCCCUUUUGUUGGGAAAGAAAAGCAGCAGGUUAAUACCCCGCUGUUCUGACGGUACCCAAAGAAUAAGCACCGGCUAACUUCGUG